CUAACAAGGAUUCCCCUAGUAACGGCGAGUGAAGCGGGAAAAGCUCAAAUUUGUAAUCUGGCGGUCUACGGCCGUCCGAGUUGUAAUCUGGAGAAGCGUUUUCCGUACCGGCCCGCGUACAAGUCCCCUGGAACGGGGCGUCGCAGAGGGUGAGAAUCCCGUCUUUGACGCGGUCGCGCCGGUGCCAUGCGAAGCGCUCUCGAAGAGUCGAGUUGUUUGGGAAUGCAGCUCAAAACGGGUGGUAAAUUCCAUCUAAAGCUAAAUAUUGGCGAAAGACCGAUAGCGAACAAGUACCGUGAGGGAAAGAUGAAAAGCACUUUGGAAAGAGAGUCAAACAGUACGUGAAAUUGUUGAAAGGGAAACGCUUGAAGUCAGUCGCGUCUCCCGGGACUCAGUCGGGCCUUUACGGGACCGGCGCAUUUCCCGGGUUUUUGACGGGCCAGCGUCGAUUUCGACCGUCGUAAAAAGGCGAGGGGAAUGUGGCACCUU
rnacentral:rRNA from 1 species